rnacentral:rRNA from 1 species
GUGGGGAAUCUUGCGCAAUGGGCGAAAGCCUGACGCAGCCAUGCCGCGUGAAUGAUGAAGGUCUUAGGAUUGUAAAAUUCUUUCACCGGGGACGAUAAUGAAGGUACCCUGUGAGGAAGGAUCGGCUAACUUCGUGCCAGCAGCCGCGGUAAGACGAGGGAUCCUAGCGUUGCUCGGAAUCAUUGGGCGUAAAGAGGGCGUAGGUGGCUUGGUAAGUCAGGUGUGAAAGCCCAGGGCUCAACCCUGGCAGUGCAUUUGAUACUGCUGAGCUUGAGUGUCGGAGAGGUGACCGGAAUACCUGGUGUAGUGGUGAAAUACGUAGAUAUCAGGUGGAACACCGGAGGCGAAGGCGGGUAACUGGACGAACACUGACACUGAGGCCCGAAAGCGUGGGGAUCAAACAGGAUUAGAUACCCUAGUAGUCC